CAAUAUGAGAGAGUAAAUUGUAGAUAUAAAAAAAAUUAAUAUUAUUUGAAAACAAAUCAAUAAGUUUGUCACUUUCAAUAUGUCUUCAGUAACAUAGUUUCUAAGACAUUUUGAAUGCACCUUUGCAAUAAUGAGUAUUAGGUAUUUAUAUUUGUAUGAAUGUCAUGCUGUCUUUACAGGUCUGUAACACGUCUUUGAAAUCUUAAAAAAAAAGAUUUUAAACAAAAAAAAAGAUCAACACAAGUAUUUAAACAUUUUCCAAAAUAUUUUAUUAUUAUAACUUUUUAUUUUCUGUAAUUUUACUAAGUCAAUGUUCAACUUUACCUGAUAGUUAAUCUUUUUUGGUGCAAUGGGAAUGAAAUUACAAUGCAUAAAUAUUAGUACUUAUAUGGGAAAUGACUUUUAUUUCUCAAUAGUUUCAAAAUACCUACAGUUUAGUGUUGUCACAGAUAACUGCAACCUUAAAUGAAAAUAUGUUUUUGAUGGAUAUUCACCACUGCAGAGAGAAUAGCUUCAUUCCUCAUAUGUCUACCUAUGAGAUUUACUUGCCACUUAGCCUUGAGCUAACUCCCACCUAAAAAAUUGCAUGUUUAAUGUAAAUUGUACAUCAUCAUGCAUCAAUAGCCCUCCACCAAUAGGAAGGUGACACAACCUCCUUGCUCAGUAACUCCCCUUAAAGCAUUGUACUUAAAUUAACUU